CUGUUUAUUCACACUAUUUAUACAGUAGCAGUCUAAGCCUUUCUGCUGUUAUCGCAAAGCCCCGCUAGAACAGCUGUGAGCACGAACACAUUCAGAAGACCACAGGGCAAAGCAUGUAAAUCAACCACACAAACACUGUCAUCCUUCAUCUACAUAGAUCUAUACAACUUAGCCUGGGAACUGUGCAAUCAGGUUAAUAUGUUAACAAGAUUUUGUGUGCAGAAUGCACAUUAUGGACAAACGUGUUGUGCUGUGUGGACCAGAUCUGGGUCAAAUUCAACUAUUCAACAAACUCAACUAGUUGGAUAGUAUAAAAAUAAGUUGCAUUGAAUUUUGAGGUGGAUAACAUCUCAUCUUUUAGCUACCAUUAUCUCUACCUCUGCUUAUACCAUGUCAUUUACAGAACUGCUCUCCCUGUCUCCCCCUGCAAUUACAUUUCCUCUCCCACAGAGGCUGUCCAUCUCCCUUUAAAAAGGCAAUGUGUUCACAAUAUUCCCGUCUGCAGUGCAAUCACAAAAAAAUCGUAUAAUUUAGAGGCAGACAUAAUUCAGCUGAAAACCGUUUGAUUGCAGGGGCCAUUUUGUGUCUGACAGCCUACUGAAACUUUGGCUCUAGCAAAGGGAAGCAAUUACUCUGGCUGCUGACUAGGGCAAUCUCACUGCAUCUGAAGAAACCGAGCCACUCUGUAAAGUGGAAUUCCGGAGGAAUUAAUCAAGACCUGCAAUUUACAUGUUUACCUUGUUUACCUUGUAUGCCUGACUAAUGUCAGUGUGUGUGGGGUUUGAUUUGUGUCUCCUUCGCUGAAUAGCAAAACUUAGACUGUUUCACAGUCAGUCAGAGAACACCAGCUAUUUCUGGAAAUUGUAACGAGUGGCCAAUUUCCUGGACUCCAAUUCUUGGUGUUACGGUCAUUAGCAUAAGUGGUAGCUGCAGAAUUGUGUUAAUUUCCGACAGCUCGAGAGAUAAAAGUCUGGAUAGGAGGCAGAUAGCUGUCAUUUUCAUUCCAAUGCCUCACUACCUCUUCCACAGGGUGUCAUUUGGAAGCUUCUCCCUACUCAGCCAUGCAUUACGGACAGCAAUGAUAUGGUAAAUCAGGUGUUUAGAUAUCCCUGUACAUACUGCCUGCCUAUCUGUAAUCUCUCUGGGGUGAUUGUGGGUCACUGAUAUGGUAAAUCAGGUGUUUAGAUAUCCCUGUACAUACUGCCUGCCUAUCUGUAAUCUCUCUGAGGUGAUUGUGGGUCACUGAUAUGGUAAAUCAGGUGUUUAGAUAUCCCUGUACAUACUGCCUGCCUAUCUGUAAUCUCUCUGAGGUGAUUGUGGGUCACUGAUAUGGUAAAUCAGGUGUUUAGAUAUCCCUGUACAUACUGCCUGCCUAUCUGUAAUCUCUCUGAGGUGAUUGUGGGUCACUGAUAUGGUAAAUCAGGUGUUUAGAUAUCCCUGUACAUACUGCCUGCCUAUCCGUUAUCUCUCUGAGGUGAUUGUGGGUCACUGAUAUGGUAAAUCAGGUGUUUAGAUAUCCCUGUACAUACUGCCUGCCUAUCUGUAAUCUCUCUGAGGUGAUUGUGGGUCACUGAUAUGGUAAAUCAGGUGUUUAGAUAUCCCUGUACAUACUGCCUGCCUAUCUGUAAUCUCUCUGAGGUGAUUGUGGGUCACUGAUAUGGUAAAUCAGGUGUUUAGAUAUCCCUGUACAUACUGCCUGCCUAUCCGUUAUCUCUCUGAGGUGAUUGUGGGUCACUGAUAUGGUAAAUCAGGUGUUUAGAUAUCCCUGUACAUACUGCCUGCCUAUCUGUAAUCUCUCUGAGGUGAUUGUGGGUCACUGAUAUGGUAAAUCAGGUGUUUAGAUAUCCCUGUACAUACUGCCUGCCUAUCCGUUAUCUCUCUGAGGUGAUUGUGGGUCACUGAUAUGGUAAAUCAGGUGUUUAGAUAUCCCUGUACAUACUGCCUGCCUAUCCGUUAUCUCUCUGAGGUGAUUGUGGGUCACUGAUAUGGCUAAAUCAGGUGUUUAGAUAUCCCUGUACAUACUGCCUGCCUAUCUGUAAUCUCUCUGAGGUGAUUGUGGGUCACUGAUAUGGUAAAUCAGGUGUUUAGAUAUCCCUGUACAUACUGCCUGCCUAUCUGUAAUCUCUCUGAGGUGAUUGUGGGUCACUGAUAUGGUAAAUCAGGUGUUUAGAUAUCCCUGUACAUACUGCCUGCCUAUCUGUAAUCUCUCUGAGGUGAUUGUGGGUCACUGAUAUGGUAAAUCAGGUGUUUAGAUAUCCCUGUACAUACUGCCUGCCUAUCCGUUAUCUCUCUGAGGUGAUUGUGGGUCACUGAUAUGGCUAAAUAAUCAACAACAUCAAUGGUUAUUGAGAGUGAGUCACUCCUAUGAGAGAGUCAGGUAAUAUUGUGGUGACAGACAUCAGAAUAUGUGAAUAACAGGCCGGGUCCACCCUCUGUUUUGAAACAUUCAUUUACAAACCCUUUAUUUACAAAUCUGCAGGUGUUUUUCAGAGCCUGGUGUAGAGAAUUGUUUACAAAGGGAAAUAAAUUCAAAUGUGUUUGUUUGCAUUUUGGCAAGCAAAUUAUUGUUUUCAUGACAAUACCGUUUUUAGUGCGGAAAGUCUAAAGAGCUUAGGCUUCUUGAGGUGAGCUGAGAUGCAUUGCUUGUUUUAUUGCUCACGGCAACACAAACACCUUUUCUUUCAUUUCCCUACUAAUUGCACAUAGAGCGAGUGGCAAACCAAUGGCUGAAUUAGGAACAUUCUCUGACCCAUUUCUGCACCUCCACCUAUCAAACUUCUGAUAUCAUUCCCCUUAAACCAGACACAUCUAGUUGAUGUGACUAGAGCUGGGAGCUCUGACGGCUGGGGCUCCCCAUCGCUCUCUCACACACACCACAUGGAAGAUGGCACACAACAUUUAUGGAAGCGUCCAGGCCAUUUCAGAGCAUUAGAAUUACCCCCCUUAAGGCAUUUCAGCUUUUUACAGCAAAAUAGUAUGUCAGCUGCUUUUUACAGCAACAGAGUAUGUCAGCUGCUUUUUACAGCAACAGAGUAUGUCAGCUGCUUUUUACAGCAAAUAGUACUUCAGCUGCAUUUUACAGCAACAUAGUACUUCAGCUGCGUUUUACAGCAACAUAG